rnacentral:rRNA from 1 species
GGCGUGCUUAACACAUGCAAGUCGAACGAUGAAGCCUAGCUUGCUAGGUGGAUUAGUGGCGCACGGGUGAGUAAUAUAUAGAUAACGUGCCUCUUAGUCUGGGAUAGCCAUUGGAAACGAUGAUUAAUACUAGAUACUCCUUCUAACUCUAAUGUUAGUCGGGAAAGUUUUUCGCUAAGAGAUCGGUCUAUAUCCCAUCAGCUAGUUGGUAGUGUAAGAGACUACCAAGGCAAUGACGGGUAGCGGGUUUGAGAGGAUGAUCCGCCACACUGGUACUGAGACACGGACCAGACUCCUACGGGAGGCAGCAGUGAGGAAUAUUGCACAAUGGAGGAAACUCUGAUGCAGCAACGCCGCGUGGAGGAUGACGCAUUUCGGUGUGUAAACUCCUUUUAUAUGUCAAGAAAAUGACGGUAGCAUAUGAAUAAGCACCGGCUAACUCCGUGCCAGCAGCCGCGGUAAUACGGAGGGUGCAAGCGUUAUUCGGAAUCACUGGGCGUAAAGGACGCGUAGGCGGGAUGCCAAGUCUGAUGUGAAAUCCUAUGGCUUAACCAUAGAACUGCAUUGGAAACUGGUAACCUAGAGUAUGGGAGGGGGAGAUGGAAUUAGUGGUGUAGGGGUAAAAUCCGUAGAUAUCACUAGGAAUACCGAAAGCGAAGGCGAUCUCCUGGAACAAUACUGACGCUAAGGCGUGAAAGCGUGGGGAGCAAACGGGAUUAGAUACCCCGGUAGUCCACGCCCUAAACGAUGUUCACUAGUCGUCGGGAUGCUAGUCAUCUCGGUGAUGCACUUAACAGAUUAAGUGAACCGCCUGGGGAGUACGG